UACGGAAUGUGCAAACGUUAUUCGGAAUCACUGGGCUUAAAGAGUCCGUAGGCGGCAUGUUAGGUGAGGUGUGAAAUCCCCCGGCUCAACCGAGGAAUUGCGCUUCAUACCGGCGUGCUAGAGGAAGAUAGAGGUGGGCGGAACUGAUGGUGGAGCGGUGAAAUGCGUUGAUAUCAUCAGGAACACCGGAGGCGAAGGCGGCCCACUGGGUCUUUUCUGACGCUGAGGGACGAAAGCUAGGGGAGCAAACGGG
rnacentral:rRNA from 1 species